AUUGAACGCUGGCGGCAGGCCUAACACAUGCAAGUCGAGCGGAUGAAGGGAGCUUGCUCCUGGAUUCAGCGGCGGACGGGUGAGUAAUGCCUAGGAAUCUGCCUGGUAGUGGGGGAUAACGUCCGGAAACGGGCGCUAAUACCGCAUACGUCCUGAGGGAGAAAGUGGGGGAUCUUCGGACCUCACGCUAUCAGAUGAGCCUAGGUCGGAUUAGCUAGUUGGUGGGGUAAAGGCCUACCAAGGCGACGAUCCGUAACUGGUCUGAGAGGAUGAUCAGUCACACUGGAACUGAGACACGGUCCAGACUCCUACGGGAGGCAGCAGUGGGGAAUAUUGGACAAUGGGCGAAAGCCUGAUCCAGCCAUGCCGCGUGUGUGAAGAAGGUCUUCGGAUUGUAAAGCACUUUAAGUUGGGAGGAAGGGCAGUAAGUUAAUACCUUGCUGUCUUGACGUUACCAACAGAAUAAGCACCGACUAACUUCGUG
rnacentral:rRNA from 1 species